GAUAAACGCUGACAGAAUGCUUAACACAUGCAAGUCGAUGAUGGGAGCUAGCUUGCUAGAAGAAGUCAUGGCGGACGGGUGAGUAACGUGUAAAGAACUUACCAUAUAGACUGGGAUAACAGAGGGAAACUUCUGAUAAUACUGGAUAAGUUGGUAGUAGCAUUACUAAGUAAUGAAAGGUAGCAAUACGCUAUAUGAGAGCUUUGCAUCCUAUUAGCUAGUUGGUGGGGUAAAAGCCUACCAAGGCGAUGAUAGGUAGCCGGCCUGAGAGGGUGGACAGCCACAAGGGGACUGAGAUACGGCCCUUACUCCUACGGGAGGCAGCAGUGGGGAAUAUUGGACAAUGGAGGCAACUCUGAUCCAGCAAUUCUGUGUGUGUGAAGAAGGUUUUAGGACUGUAAAACACUUUUAGUAGGGAAGAAAGAAAUGACGGUACCUACAGAAGAAGCGACGGCUAAAUACGUG
rnacentral:rRNA from 1 species